rnacentral:rRNA from 1 species
UACGUAGGGUGCGAGCGUUAAUCGGAAUUACUGGGCGUAAAGCGUGCGCAGGCGGAUGUUUAAGUUAGAAGUGAAAUCCCCGGGCUCAACCUGGGAACUGCUUUUAAGACUGGGCAUCUAGAGUUUGUCAGAGGGGGGUGGAAUUCCAAGUGUAGCAGUGAAAUGCGUAGAGAUUUGGAGGAACACCGAUGGCGAAGGCAGCCCCCUGGGAUAGAACUGACGCUCAUGUACGAAAGCGUGGGUAGCAAACAGG